rnacentral:rRNA from 1 species
GCCAGACUCCUACGGGAGGCAGCAGUGAGGAAUAUUGGUCAAUGGGCUUACGCCUGAACCAGCCAAGUCGCGUGAGGGAAGACUGCCCUAUGGGUUGUAAACCUCUUUUGUCAGGGAGCAACGCCGGCUACGUGUAGCCGGACUGAGAGUACCUGAAGAAAAAGCAUCGGCUAACUCCGUGCCAGCAGCCGCGGUAAUACGGAGGAUGCGAGCGUUAUCCGGAUUUAUUGGGUUUAAAGGGUGCGUAGGUGGUUAAUUAAGUCAGCGGUGAAAGUUUGUGGCUCAACCAUAAAAUUGCCGUUGAAACUGGUUGACUUGAGUAUAUUUGAGGUAGGCGGAAUGCGUGGUGUAGCGGUGAAAUGCAUAGAUAUCACGCAGAACUCCGAUUGCGAAGGCAGCUUACUAAACUAUAACUGACACUGAAGCACGAAAGCGUGGGGAUCAAACAGGAUUAGAUACCCCUGUA